AUGUUUUUCUUCCUCUCUCCCACCCCAACACUAACUUCAGAGAACCAUCUCUGUCCUCAGGUAACAUCAUUGUCCAGAGGAUUCUUUUCUCUGUUGAACUGGAAUUUUUAUUGGACUUAUCUCUGCUGGGAUCUGUUGCUCUCUACUAGCAUCACCACCGAGCUACUCACUGCUGUUUUUUUCUGAUCUCGCUAAGGUGUAACUUUGUCAUACUCUUCUCACAAAUCCUUUAAAUUGUUGUACAAUAAUAAUUGUAAUUUUAAAAAUACAAUAUGAUACCAAUCACACUUUUUCUUUGUGAAGAAGGGUUUAGCCUUUAUUGAAAAAUAAUCUGAAAGUGUUUAAACUGUUGCAGUAUGUGCAAUGAUUUUCAGAAUGCACUCCCAACCAUGACUUUUAUUGCUACUGAAUUACAUUCAAAAUGAAUGUUUUUUUUCAGACUUGCAUUAUUUUUUAACAAGCAAAAUUAGGGGAACAUCAAGAUUAUUUGAAGGUAUUUUAGCAUUUUUGUUAUUCCAUUCUCUUUUCUAGUUUUCUAAGACUAUCUUAAUGUAAGAAUUCCUUCAUUAAAUGCCUAUAUUGAUGAAUUAUCAUGUCAUAGAAGUGACCUUUGUUUUUUUGAAGAGCAAGUCACCUGAGAGCAAGAUUUAUCAAGCUGUUAGAUUCAGCUAAACUGGAAAGAAAUAAAAACUUUUUAAACUUAAUUUUUUUAAGAAAAUGGACCCAAUGACAGAUUGCUCAUUUAUUUGUUGCCUGAAGACUAGACUCCCUAUAUUCAAAGAGUUUGUCUAUAGAAUAAUGCAUUUUUAGAGAGAUUAGGAUUGGAUUGCCUCUAAAAAUAACACCAAACUCAAGUACAUUAGUACUUCAUGAAAGGGGUUAUAACAAGUGCACAUGAUAAGUGGGGUGGGAAGUGUACUGAAAAUUACUUACAGAGCAUGCUAAGGUCAUUGAAACUGGUUGAUAAAUGGCCAAAGAAUAUGAACAGGAAAUUUUCAGAUGAAAAAAACUAAAGCUCUUUAUAGACAAGAAAAAUGUUUUAAAUCCCUUAUUCGUUAGAGAAAUAUAAAUUAAACCAACUGUGAGGUAUCACCUCACUCUUAUCAGAUUAGCCAAUAUGACAGAUGUGGAAAAUGUGGGAAAAUUGGGACACUAAAAACACUGUUGGUGGAGUUGUGAACUAAUCUAACUGUUCAGGAGGACAAUUUGGAACUAUAUCCAAAGGGCUACAUAAGUGCAUACCCAUUGACCCAGAAAUACCAAUAUUAGGUCUGUAUCCCAAUGAGAUUGCCUCCCCCCUCCCAUUCUCCACCUCCCCACUUCCACCAAAAGGAAAAGGACCUUUGUGUAAAAAUAUAGCAUCUUUUUUGUGAUGACAAAGAAUUUGAAGGGAAACCCAAUCAACAGGAGAAUGGCUUAACAAGUUGUGGUAUAUGAUUUUGAUGGAAUACUACUAUGCUAUAAGAAAUGACAAAUAGAAUGACUUCAGAAAAACCUAGAAAGACUUCAAUGAACAAUUUCAGAGUGAAAUUAGCAGAUCCUUGUACAAAGUAAAAGCAAUAUUGUACGAUAUCAACUGUGAAUGACUUGGGUGUUCUUAAGCAAUACAGUGAUCCAAGACAAUUCUGAAAAACUCAUGAUAAAAAAUGCUAUCCACCUCCAAGAAAGAUGAUGAAGUCUAAAUGCAGAUUGAGGCAUACUUUUUUUUUUUUAAGUUUAUCUUUUUUUUUUUGUCUGUGGUGGUGGUGGUGGUUGUUUUUUAACAUCACUAAAAUAUAGAAAUAAGUUUUGCAUGAAUGCCCAUGUAUAAUCUAUAUCAAAUUGCCUUCUCAGUGGGGUGGUGAGGGAAGAAGAGACUUUGGAACAUAACAUUUUAAAAAAGAAAUAGAAAUUUGACUUUACAUGUAAUUGGAAAAAUAUUUUUAAAAUGUGAUUGCUUGGAUAAACAGUCAUCUUGAAUUAAUCCAGAUUUCCAUUUUUAAUUAUCAAGGGAUAAUAUGGAGGGGGAGGGAGAAGACUAUUAUUAGGUGUCCUUCCUCUCAACCUACCUAGCAUUCUACUGUGUUUUUAAAAUUCUCUCCGUAAAGUAAAGAUUUAAAGUAAAGAUUGUUUCAUUGCUUGUAUUUGUAUCCUUAGCACCUAAUACAGGGCAUGUCAUAUAGUAAGAACUUAAUAAAUGCUUGUUGCUUAGUUAACUGAGCAAGUGAGUGGUAGUGUUAUUUUAUUUUAUUUUUUUUGCUGAGGCAAUUGGGGUUAAGUGAUUUGUCCAGGGUCACAUAGCUAGGAAGUGUUAAGUGUCUGAGAUCAAAUUUGAACUCAGGUUCUCCUUGUUUCAGGGCUGGCGCUCUAUCCACUGCAUCACCUACCUCUCCCCUAGUAUUAUUGUUUUUAAUUGGAUCUCCAUUAGGAAAAAAAAACCCCACAAAUCAUUAGCAAUCUUAUAUACAACUGACUAGGUAAGCAAGGAAGUUCCUGUAAUAGUCUAGAACUGAAGGUCCUGAGAUUAGGUUGGUUCUAAUGGGAGUGGGAAACAAUAAAUAUGGAGAUAAGAGCAGGGGCAAUAGGUCUGAUGUGAGAAGAUGAGGGAGAGGAGUGACUGAGAGGUGAUUCAAGAUUUUGGUGACUGGGAAGAUGGAGGUGAUUUAACAGAAUCUUUGAAGGGAGAGGAGGUCAGGUUGGUGAAAAGAUGAAUUGCUUGGUUUGGGAUAUGUCUAGUUUGAGAUGAGCCCAGUGGAGAUGUCUAGUAACCUAGAAGUUAUUUGAUCAGAAAUACAGAGGAAAAAGUUAUGGCAGGUUGUACAGAUUUGUGUUUGGUAUAAAGAUAAUUGUUAAAUUAGUGGGAAUAGAUUUGCACAAAAAGAACAUAGAAGAGGGGCAAAGACAGCUGUAGGAUAUGCCUUUAUGUAAAGUAUGGACUAGCUCCCUGGAAGGUCUCGGGUCAGCCAGAGUCAGGAUAAAGUAAAGUCCUUGGUCUUUAGUGGGAAAAGUAAAGGAGACAGCCAAGCAAAAUCCUGGAUUCUGGAGUCCAGAGUCACCAACUUCUCUCCUCCUCAUCCUGCUGCCAAGGCCCUCUGGCCUCUCUCCCUCCACACUCCAAUCCUUGCCUAUGAUUAACACCAAACAUUCAGCAAGCACCAACUGUGAGAAGAACCAUUUAUCCAAACAUAUGCUAAUAGAGUUAUUGUCUCACAUUGAAUAGGUAAUUAGUCUUAAGUGCUCUCUUGUCUGAUUCAAGCAUACCUUUUUGGAGUUUCAGCCCUCUACACUUUAUAUUUGUGAUAAAACAAAGAGAAAUCAAAGAAAGAGAAAAAGUAGUCCAGAGAAAUUAGAAGAGAACCAUGAGGAAGCCAAGGGAGAAGAUAAAGAGAUGGUCAGUAAUGGCAAAGGGCUAUACAGAAAUCAAGAACAAAUGAGACAAAGUAGAUAUCAAGAAACCUUUAAGUCCUUUUUGAAAAGGGUGUGACUUUCAAAAAAGAGAAUUGAACACUUGAGAUCUAAAGAAUUUUAGAUGGUUCCUAGAAAAACACAAGUUAGCAUCUCAAAAAU
ensembl:lncRNA